rnacentral:rRNA from 1 species
UACGUAGGAGGCGAGCGUUGUCCGGAAUUAUUGGGCGUAAAGAGCUCGUAGGCGGUCUGUCGCGUCGGCUGUGAAAUCCCGGAGCUCAACUCCGGGCCUGCAGUCGAUACGGGCAGACUGGAGUUCGGCAGGGGAGACUGGAAUUCCUGGUGUAGCGGUGAAAUGCGCAGAUAUCAGGAGGAACACCGGUGGCGAAGGCGGGUCUCUGGGCCGAUACUGACGCUGAGGAGCGAAAGCGUGGGGAGCAAACAGG